UACGUAGGGUGCAAGCGUUGUCCGGAAUUAUUGGGCGUAAAGAGCUCGUAGGCGGUUUGUUGCGUCGGCUGUGAAAUCCCCGAGGCUCAACCUCGGGUCUGCAGUCGAUACGAGCAAACUAGAGUGUUGCAGGGGAGACUGGAAUUCCUGGUGUAGCGGUGGAAUGCGCAGAUAUCAGGAGGAACACCGAUGGCGAAGGCAGGUCUCUGGGCCAUUACUGACACUGAGAAGCGAAAGCAUGGGGAGCGAACAGG
rnacentral:rRNA from 1 species